rnacentral:rRNA from 1 species
UACGUAGGGUGCAAGCGUUUAAUCGGAAUUACUGGGCGUAAAGCGUGCGCAGGCGGUGAUGUAAGACAGAUGUGAAAUCCCCGGGCUCAACCUGGGAACUGCAUUUGUGACUGCAUCGCUGGAGUACGGCAGAGGGGGAUGGAAUUCCGCGUGUAGCAGGUGAAAUGCGUAGAUAUGUGGAGGAACACCGAUGGCGAAGGCAGCCCCCUGGGUCAAAACUGAACGCUCGAUGCACGAAAGCGUGGGGAGCAAACAGG